AUCUAGAUGCCGAGUCCUACACAGGACGAAAUAUGUAUCCUGGAU
rnacentral:hammerhead_ribozyme from 1 species